rnacentral:rRNA from 1 species
UUAUAUAAUAAUUUUUUUUAUUUGUUUUAUAAUAUUUUUAUUAAAAUAGUUUUUUUUUAUGUUUUUUUAGUAAUUUAUUUUGGAAUACUUAUUUUUAAUUAUAGUUUAUUUUUAAUGUAAAUGAUUUUUUGUUAUUAUUUUAUAAGAAUUUUUAUUAUUUUACCUUUUGUGUCAGGGUUGAUUAAAUAAAUUUAUUUUAUUAUUUUUUCUCGAAUUAGGAUGAUUUAUUUUAAUAUGAUUUUUUAUGUUUCAUAAUGAUUUUGAAUUUUAAUAUGGUAGUGAUAUUCUAUUCGUAUCUUAAUAUAUCUAGUUUUCUAAGAUUAAAUUUAAUUUUAAAUUUAUUUUAAAUUAAAUUAGUUUAUAUUUAAUUUUUAAUUUAUUUGUAUAGUUUAAGGGUUAAGCUUUGAAUUUUAUUAUAAUUUUAUUUUUAAUUUUUUUUCUUAGGCUUGAAAUCAGCCAUUGUUUUAAUUGCGUUUUAGUUUAAUUAGUUAAUUAAUUAUUUUUUAUUUUAUUUAAUUUUAUUAUUAGAAUAUGGAUUUUAAUGUUUUAUGUCUAUUAAUAAUGAUUGAAUUAGUAUAAUUUUUGUGUUUUAUAUUUACUUUUUUAUAUAUAUUUUAAAGGAAUUCGGCAAGUUUUUUAUGUUUCCGCCUGUUUAUCAAAAACAUCUCUUUUAGUUUUUAUUAAAAGUCGUGCCUGCUCACUGAUUUAUUAAAGAGCCGCGGUAUUUUGACCGUGCAAAGGUAGCAUAAUCAUUAGUAUAUUAAUUGUGUACUGGAAUGAAAGGUUUGACGAGAAAUAUACUGUCUCUAUUAUAUUUUUAUAAUUUUACUUUUUAGUUAAAAGGCUGGAAUUUUUUUUUUGGACGAUAAGACCCUAUAGAGUUUAAUUUUAAAUAUUUUAUUAUUUUGGGAUAAGUUGUUAAUAAUUAAUUUUAUUGUUAGUUUUGUUGGGGUGAUGUGAAUAAUAAUUAAACUGUUCAUUAUUUUUAUCAUUGGUUUAUGUUUUUUAUGAUCUUAUAUUAUUGAUAUAAAGAUAAAAUUACCUUAGGGAUAACAGCGUAAUUAUCUUUGAUAGUUCUUAUUGACAAGAUAGAUUGCGACCUCGAUGUUGGAUUAAGAUUAUUUUUUAGGUGAAGGUACUUAAUUUAAUUGGUCUGUUCGACCAUUAAAAUCUUACAUGAUCUGAGUUCAGACCGGUGCGAGCCAGGUUGGUUUCUAUCCAAAAAUUUUAUUAUAUUUUCUAGUACGAAAGGACCGUUAAUUUUGAUUAUUUUAUUUAAAUUGAUUAUUAUU